rnacentral:lncRNA from 1 species
GAGCCUUCGCACCAAGCCUUGAACAUCUUGUCCUCAAGGGGAAUGGAUGAGGGCUUUGAAGGCUGUGGUGGCCAUGGCUUAGACUGGCAAACUCCCAAUGAAGGCUUACAAGGGCUCCAGUUCCACCGAGCUGGGUCCCCUGGCUCCCAUCUCUGUGAAGUCUGUGGGUACCUGCUAAGGGGAAGGACGGUACUUUACCAGGUACAGGCAGCUGUAAUGGGAGGGACAAGGGUUGCUAAGCUUAUAGGCAAAACGACUGUCCAAAGUCAUGCUCGCAGCCAGAUGGUAUCCAUAAUCCCUAGUCUGUCUGCUCUGUCCUGCCCUGGGUAGUUUAGACUAUAAAACUGGUUCUGUCUAGUUAGGAAAAAAGAUCUAUAGCUCCCUACUUCCCAGUCCCGACACCCCAUCUCUAGGCACCUAGCCCGUCUGACCCACUGGGUCUAGAGUUGUCUGG